rnacentral:lncRNA from 1 species
AUUUAAUCCCGGAAAAUAAUUCCUUAACCCUCGUACCAAACGAGUCAAGGAACAACAUAUACUGAGAACAUUUUCCACAGCUAAUUAAGGGUAUUUUAACCAAAAAUAUAACCAAGUUCAUCUGCCACUAACCAAAUACUACAAAAUAGGACAUAACUAAGUUCAUCUGCCACUAACCAAAUACUACAAAAUAGGAUAUAACUAAGUUCAUCUGCCACUAACCAAAUACUACAAAAUA